rnacentral:rRNA from 1 species
UAAGGAAUAUUGGGCAAUGGACGAAAGUCUGACCCAGCCAUGCCGCGUGAAGGAUGAAGGUCCUCUGGAUUGUAAACUUCUUUUAUCUGGGGCGAAAACCUCCCUUUCUAGGGGGCUUGACAGUACCAGAGGAAUAAGCACCGGCUAACUCCGUG